CCCUGCGCCACGACGAGAACUCCUGGGAUCACUUUUAUAAGAACACUAGUCACCUUCUAAAGGCCCCACAUCCAAAUAUCAUCACAUUAGGAGAAUAUAUCUCAACAUAUGAAUUCAAGGAAUACAUAUACAGUCUGUAGUAGGAAGACUGCAAAAAUCAGAGAAAAUAUUAGCAUUCAUAUGCUAUGUAUGGGGCUCAAAGAGGUUAAAUAACUUGCUCCAAGAAUACAGUUUAUUACUGAUUGAGCCAGAAUAAUCAGAGUUCAAUAGCAGCCUAAUUCUAGCAUUAUCUGUGUUCUUAAUUCACACCGUAAAUUCUGCUCAUUUCAAUCCUUUCAAUAGUCCUAUGAAAUUGGUAUUAAUAUCUUCAUUUUUACAAAAGAGGAUACUGCCCCAGGGAUAUUAAAUAACUUUGCCAAAGCCACAUGAAUAUAUUAGGCAAGUGAAAUUUAAACACAGGACUAAUUGGCUAUAAUUUUUUUCUCUUAAGUAACAAGUUCUAUGUGAGAGUUACUCAUCUGUUUAAAGGAUGGUAUGAAGACAAUCUAGGAAAUGAUGUUUCUGUUACCCAGGGGAAAAAUGCACCAUUAAAAUAAUGUGAUUUUAUGGACCAAGGUCUUUCAGUUUAUUUCAUAAAAUUUUCAGAUGGGAGGUUCUAUUGUCUCAGCAAUUAAGAACCUGUCUAGUAUCCAUGAGGAUGAGGAUUUGAUCUGUGGGCUCGCUCAGUGGAUUAAGGAUCCAGCAUUGUCAUGAGCUGUGGUGCAGGUUGCAGAUGCAGCAGAUCCCACAUUGCUGUGGCGUAGGCUGGCAGUUGUGACUCAGAUUCAACCCCUAGCCUGGGAACUUCGAUAUGCCACAGGUACAGCCUUAAAAAGAAAAAAAAAAGAAGAAAACUUGAGACGCCUAUUAAAAAAUUAGAGCACUAUACUGAUAUAUCAAUAAGUACCUUCCUUCAAUAUAAGGAUCAACAAAAGCUUUGGAAAAAAAUCAAAUAUAGGUUUCCAUUUAGGCCUUCGUAAGUCUUUUUGUUGUUGCUGUUAAAUAAUAUUAACUAUUGCCUUUUGCAAUGUCAAGAGCCAAGAGGCUGCUUUGAAAACCAAAUGUGAAGGCCAAAAUAUCUUUGCUAAAAUCCUCCCAAUUUAGAGAUAGUGUAUGAGACUUCCUGAAAUCACAACUGUGGUUAACUGUAAUUACUUCAGAAAUGAAUUGUAGACUUAGAUGUAUUAUAAAGGGAAUAUGUUCAAUUCUUAGCGCUUGACAUGACAUGUAAGUGGAAAAAUGAAACAAGGGAUAGAAAUAUUUUAAAUACAUGGUGUGGAGGAAAUAAUUCUCUUAAAACAUAUUCUAGACCUCUUUUUAGAUUAAUGGUAAAUACAUUUUGUUGAAAACUAUAGCUUAAACUUGUUACUAAAAGCCUGAACAGACCAUCUCUUGCAUUUUUGGUGUCUAAAUUUCAUUAGAAGCCCUAUUUUAAAAUGAUUUCUAACUCAUUGAUAAUCUCUGAAACCAUUUCUGCCUUCUGCAGAAACAUCUAGACUUGUCCCCUUUCGAAGGCACACAUGAUACUAAAAGAUUUUACAAUUUGCCUGUAAUACAGAACACUUUCAGAGAAAAUCACUUUGCUCAAUAUUUUAUCUUUGUAUGUAAUUAAAAGAGAUGCCUUUCAAAUGAUAGUUUACAUUUAAAACAGCUUAAAGAAAUGACAUUUUUUUUUUUGUUUUCCCUAACAAACCACCUGGGAGAAGUGCCAAUACAUUGUAACAACUUUUAGAGUUUUAGUUCCUUGAGUUUACUAAAUCAUUUUUCUUUUCAAAAUAUUGGGUCAUCAGUAGAGGUCAUGAUGGAACUGUGAAAACUGCAGUUGAAAUAUACUUUUAGAGAUUAGGAAAAAAUAUUGAUAAAUCUAUAUCCUGGAAUAGAUUAGCCUUCUUAACAUCUCAGGGGGAUAUUUUUUGUUGUUGUUUAUUUUUUGUUUUUUCAUUCCACAUUAAUUCUUUAACUUUUAAAGAAUAAAUAAAUAUAUAAGAUAUUCCACAAAAAAAUGGUAACAGAUUAAGAGAACUCUUCUCCUUGCUAUUCAGGCAGCUGGGGGUAAGGUGAUGUAAGAAUCUCAAAGAAGAUUCAAAAAGCUUGAGAGCUGCUGAACAAAAUAAAAUCAAUGUUGGCCUUUAAAUAUAUCUGCUUCCACAAAUAUAGAGCACACACCCAGUUCUUGUAGCAUUAUGAAUUUUUAACUACUGCUUAAAUUCUGUUUUAAUAGCUUGACAUACACGUUUAGGGUGGUGGUUUCUAGUUUCUAAAGACAAAAAUUUCGGUGGAACUAUGAGGGGAAAACAUGACUGGCUAUAUAUUCCUCAGAAAGUGAAAUACAUGAAAUAUAAUCUGACAGUUUAAAUUUAAUCAGUAUGUCAUCGUUUUGCCUUAAUAGAGCAAAUCACCCUAGGUUGAGUACUUAAUUUACUCUCAGCAGCUAGAGGUGGGUAAUGAAAGCAGGAGUCAGUCACUAGUUGGGUGUAGAAGGUAGUGCAAUUAGGGCUGCUCAUAACAAUUCAAAUUAGAUCUGAAUCGUGGAAUGGAUUGCUAAUUUAGACAAGUACAAGUUUGGAAGGCUUCAUGGCUUCAGCAUAUCAAGUAUGCAUGGCAGGCACUUCUUGAUUCCCUGACAUUUCAAUGCAAUAGUUUUUAAAGUGUCGAUAAUGUUAGUUUGCAAAGCACAAGGGUUUAUAAUAAAAAAUACACACUGCGUGUGUGUACAAAUAAGAUUUGCUCUUCUCCUCCUGAUGACUACACUUUCAAGCACUGAAAAGGGCAAAGGGGAAACAACCAAUUAGUAGAAACAGUCAUAAGUAAAAUUAUCCACUUUGUUUCAAUACCAAGGGAAUAGAGUUAGACAAAAGGAUUAGGCAAACAAUCCAAGAUCAUUUAGAUUCUAUUAUGGGAUUUGAUGCAAAAUGAAACAUUCUUAAGGAAGUUACUUUAUUUCACAAUUCAUUUUCCCUUUGUAGAGUCAUUAGAAAAUAUACUUUCUAAUACACGAUGAGAUGAAAUUUGUUCAUGCCAGCACUCAGUGGUAAAUCUGGAUUAAAAAAUACUUGUUAGAAUAAAUGAUAGCAAAUAAAGGUACCUCAUUUUGUAUGGCUUUCUUUGGCAAUGUUUUACAACUUGUAAGUGAAUAAUGUUACAGUAAAAUAAUUAGUGAGUUGGUGCUGCUAAAAAUUCUAAUAAAUACUGUAAUUUCCAGAGGUCCCUAAUUAUUGAGCAUCAGAGAAAGAAACCUACUUCUUUGGGAAGGUUGGUAAACAUUUAUUAUAAUAAACCAAGAGAGGUCAAUUAUUCAAACUCUGGGGCAAAUUUUAGAUGUACAAACUGGAAAGUAUAUAAUUUGCUAUGUCAACUCCCAGUUACUGACGUAUGGAAUUAUGUAUUUUGCACAGCAAGGUAGAGGAAUUUUCCCUAUCACUUCAGCUCUUACCCAGAAGAAUAAAUGGUUAUCAGAACCCAGGUACCAUGACAUAAAAAUUAGGUAAACUGUUAAAAUGUUGGUUUGCAAAAACAAGAUUCUUGGUAAGAUACAUUCAGUGCACAGCAUGUAGUAGUGAUGGGAAAUUAAGAAGAAAGAGAGAGCCAAGUGCUAAUCCGAAAGGCAUUUCCAGAAUAAAGAUGGAGAUGCCCUAUUUGAUUUGAGAAGCACAAGAACAUAUUGAGUAAUUUUUAAUGUUUGACUUCACAUACACUCAAAGACAUAUAAUCACUAAAUCUUCAUUUCAGUGGUGCCUAUAGUCUUCUUUCCUUUGGUACCUACACUAACAUAGUAAGUUGAACAUUAUUAUUUUGUAUAAUAGAUAAUCAUAAUAUACACUAUUUUUUAUUGCUUACUUGACCUCUAGACAAACCUCAAAAUUAAAAUUCAAAUAUUUAAAUAUAUUUGCGUUUAAUGAAGUGAAUUGCCAUUUAGUAAAUAUGUAUUAAAAAUUUACACAUAGCAUGCUCUUGGGACCCAUUUGGGGUGAAAAGACAUAAUUCCCUGUCUCCCUGAACCUUACAUUCAAACGUGAGAACAAUCAAUAUCCAAUGAAAAUAUGUGUGUAACUAAUACAUGUAUAAGGGGUUAAGCGAUUGGACAGUAACAGAAAAGGGAGUGAUAUCAGGAGUAUAUGUGAAUAUAUCAUCUGUGGGGGUUAGUAGGUGUCAUUUUAAACAGAGUGGUCAAGGUACACGCAAUGGAGAAACUCAUGUUUCUAAUUUGGAGGAAGAAGAGGGGGCAGUUAUUCAGAUAUCCGGAGGGAAUAUUGCUUCUAGAAAAAAACAGCAUCUGGCAUAAGCAUCCUGAGUUAGGAGCAGACCUGGCAUCCCAGGCCCUGCAGGAAUGGAUCUGAAUGAAUGUGUGGAGAGAAAGAGGUAAGAGUGUGUGUGGUGAGGGGAGAGAGCUUAUGCAGACAGACUUGUAUAGAUCCUUGCAGAAAGAUGUGAAGACUCACCUUUCAUCUAAUAUAGCACUACAUAGAGAAGGUAUUUUAGUGGUCAUUAUAUAAAUCAGUGUUUCUGAACCAUGGCUCUAAUUGAGAUUUGGGGUCAGAUAAUUCUUUUUAGUGCAGGCAUGCCUUGCUCACUGUAGGAUGGUCAAGCAUCAGAGCUGACCUGUAUCAUUAAUGACAGUAGCAGUCACAAAUAAAAUAACUCCGGAUAUUGCUAAAUGUACCAUAGGUGGGAAGGGCAAAAUUUCCCCUGCUUGAGAAUCAUUGAUAAAAUGUACUGAGGCACAAAAAUGUUAAAUAAAUACUCCAGAAUCACACAGCUAAUAAGUAAAUCUGCUUCCAGAUGCCUUAUAUUUAAGGAUAAAAUAGUUAUUCCAUUGCUUGGCUGUACCAUUGAUUUCUUUUCUGGUUCAUUUGAAUCAAAGACUGUUGACUAGAGUCAUAUUGCUGUAAACCCUUGAGCAGUUUUUAUCAGCUUCACAUAAAGUAAAAAUUAGCUUUAAGUGGCCAGACAGGUUUACCUGUAAUCAGGUCCUGGAAUUUAGCCAGAACCGCAACUCUGAAUCCCUGUUCAGAGUGCAAAGAGUAGAAUGGAUCACAAUAGGAUGUGCCAACAGCUGUUACGGGCAAACUGGAAUGGAGGAAGGGAAAAGAAAAAAGAUCUGACACAUGAAAGGACAAUUUUGGAUGAAGCAGUACAGCUGUGGCAGUAAGGAAUCUGUGGUUUAUGACUGAUCAGGCUGGAAUGCUACAAUGGCAAAAGGUAUUUUCCCUUGGUUUGAGCAAAAAUAGAAGGACAAACACUAUUCUAAGAUGUCAAGAAGUAGGAGUUCCUGCUAUGGCACUGCGGGUUAAGAAUCCAGCUGCAGAGGCUCAGUUUCUGCGGAUGUAUGGAUUCAAUCCCAGCCUGGCAACAGGGGGUUAAAGGAUCAGGUGUUGCCACAGUUCUGGCAUAGGUUGAAGCUGUAGCUUGCAUUCAAUCCCUGGCCCUGGAACUUCCAUAUGCCGUGGGUAAAGCCUUAAAAAAAAAAAAAAAAAAAAAGAAAAA
rnacentral:lncRNA from 1 species